rnacentral:snRNA from 1 species
GCGUUCAUAGCGACGUUG